ACCUGAAAGAUGGUGAACUAUGCCCGGGCAGGCCGAAGCCAGAGGAAACCCUGGUGGAGGUUCAUAGUUGUCCUGAUGAACAAACUGGUCAUCUGACCUGGGUUCAGGGGUGAAAGACUAAUCAAACCACCUAGUAGCUGG
rnacentral:ncRNA from 1 species